CACGCAGGCGGACCAGUAAGUCUGUCGUCAAAGGCGGAGGCUCAACCUUCGUUCCACGAUAGAUACUGCGGGUCUAGAGUAUGUGAGAGGGAAGUGGAAUUCCCGGUGUAGCGGUGAAAUGCGUAGAUAUCGGGAGGGAACACCAGUGGCGAAGGCGGCUUCCUGGCACACAACUGACGCUCAUGUGCGAAAGCCAGGGCAGCGAACG
rnacentral:rRNA from 1 species